rnacentral:sRNA from 1 species
ACUUGGUCCUUUUCAACGGUUUUCACAGAUCCAGUGACCCACGCUCUGAAGACAGAAUUAGCUAACUUUCAAAAACAUCUGGAAAAAUGAAGACUUGGGUAAAAAUCGUAUUUGGAGUUGCCACCUCUGCUGUGCUUGCCUUAUUGGUGAUGUGCAUUGUCUUACGCCCUUCAAGAGGACAAGAAUAUCUUCAUCAAUCUGCAGAUAACAAUAUAGUACUUUAUAAUAUUGAAACAGGACAAUCAUAUACCAUUUUGAGUAAUAGAACCAUGAAAAGUGUGAAUGCUUCAAAUUACGGCUUAUCACCUGAUCGGCAAUUUGUAUAUCUAGAAAGUGAUUAUUCAAAGCUUUGGAGAUACUCUUACACAGCAACAUAUUACAUCUAUGACCUUAGCAACGGAGAAUUUGUAAGAGGAAAUGAGCUUCCUCGUCCAAUUCAGUAUUUAUGCUGGUCGCCUGUUGGGAGUAAAUUAGCAUAUGUCUAUCAAAACAAUAUCUAUUUGAAACAAAGACCAGGAGAUCCACCUUUUCAAAUAACAUUUAAUGGAAGAGAAAAUAAAAUAUUUAAUGGAAUCCCAGACUGGGUUUAUGAAGAGGAAAUGCUUGCUACAAAAUAUGCUCUCUGGUGGUCUCCUAAUGGAAAAUUUUUGGCAUAUGCGGAAUUUAAUGAUACGGAUAUACCAGUUAUUGCCUAUUCCUAUUAUGGCGAUGAACAAUAUCCUAGAACAAUAAAUAUUCCAUACCCAAAGGCUGGAGCUAAGAAUCCCGUUGUUCGGAUAUUUAUUAUCGAUACCACUUACCCUGCGUAUGUAGGUCCCCAGGAAGUGCCUGUUCCAGCAAUGAUAGCCUCAAGUGAUUAUUAUUUCAGUUGGCUCACGUGGGUUACUGAUGAACGAGUAUGUUUGCAGUGGCUAAAAAGAGUCCAGAAUGUUUCGGUCCUGUCUAUAUGUGACUUCAGGGAAGACUGGCAGACAUGGGAUUGUCCAAAGACCCAGGAGCAUAUAGAAGAAAGCAGAACUGGAUGGGCUGGUGGAGUAUGAUUUUGCUAUCUUUUUCUUAUGUUUUAAUGAAACUUGACAGAUUCUCAGCUAUCAAAGGACUAUUUGCAAUGUACCCAAACUGGCACGACUUAUUUUCAUAGAAAAAAUAGCAAGGUAUAAAACACAUAAGUAGUGAUCUCUUGAGUGAUUUUGUGCCGGACAAUUUCAAUGUCCUUCUUUUUAGAAUUCUAUUGAAAAUAACUCAUACUCCUCAUGUCCCAAUUUUAAGUUUGUCAACUGAAUCCUUGGUAUCUAUAACUAAUACUACUUUUUAAACAAAUACAAUGUAGAUCAUUGUUCAAAAGGAGACAAAAUCACUGAUCUGUUAA